rnacentral:rRNA from 1 species
UUCAAUUUUUGAAGUUUCUUUAGCUUUUUUGUUGGGUGAAAUCAGUAUAAGGAGCUCUUUCUUCUUUAAAAAUUAGUAGGAACUAAAAAACUUUGAUUUAAAACCAGGAUUAGAUACCCUGUUAUUCUCAGUUAUUCUUAAACAGGGUAGUAAAAGUUGUUCUUCAAACCCAAAGAUUUUGGCGGCACUUUAUCCAAAUAGAGGAGCUUGUCCCUUAAUCGAUAGUCCUCGUUUUAUCUUUCCUUCAUUUGUAAAGCUUGUAUACCGCCGUUGUCAGAUUACUUUUAGAGAAUGUUUUCAAGUUAAAAGACUUUAUAACUUCAGGUCAAGGUGCAGUUUAUAUGGGGGUGGAGGUGAGCUACAGUUUCCUUUAGAAAAUAUGGAUUCUAAGUUUUGAAGCUAGCUGAAGGUGGAUUUACUAGUAAAGUAAUUUAAGUAAA